UAGAAAAAAGUUACUUCGGUAGAACGCCUGCUUUGUAGGAAGUCGUAGGUUCAAUUCCUACCAUUUUAG
rnacentral:tRNA from 1 species